rnacentral:rRNA from 1 species
AACGAACGCUGGCGGCAUGCCUAACACAUGCAAGUCGAACGAGACCUUCGGGUCUAGUGGCGCACGGGUGCGUAACGCGUGGGAACCUGCCCUUAGGUUCGGAAUAACUCCCCGAAAGGGGUGCUAAUACCGGAUAAUGUCUUCGGACCAAAGAUUUAUCGCCUUUGGAUGGGCCCGCGUUGGAUUAGCUAGUUGGUAGGGUAAAAGCCUACCAAGGCGACGAUCCAUAGCUGGUCUGAGAGGAUGAUCAGCCACACUGGGACUGAGACACGGCCCAGACUCCUACGGGACGCAGCAGUGGGGAAUAUUGGACAAUGGGCGAAAGCCUGAUCCAGCAAUGCCGCGUGAGUGAUGAAGGCCUUAGGGUUGUAAAGCUCUUUUACCCGGGAUGAUAAUGACAGUACCGGGAGAAUAAGCUCCGGCUAACUCCGUG